GAUGAACGCUGGCGGCGUGCCUAAUACAUGCAAGUCGAGCGACCAGACGAGGAGCUUGCUCCUCUGCCGUUAGCGGCGGACGGGUGAGUAACACGUGGAUAACCUACCUAUAAGACUGGGAUAACUUCGGGAAACCGGAGCUAAUACCGGAUAAUAUAUUGUACCGCAUGGUUCAAUAGUUAACGACGGUUUUGCUGUCACUUAUAGAUGGAUCCGCGCCGCAUUAGCUAGUUGGUAGGGUAACGGCUUACCAAGGCAACGAUGCGUAGCCGACCUGAGAGGGUGAGCGGCCACACUGGAACUGAGACACGGUCCAGACUCCUACGGGAGGCAGCAGUAGGGAAUCUUCCGCAAUGGGCGAAAGCUUGACGGAGCAACGCCGCGUGAGUGAUGAAGGUCUUCGGAUCGUAAAACUCUGUUAUUAGGGAAGAACAAAUGUGUAAGUAACUAUGCACGUCUUGACGGUACCUAAUCAGAAAGCCACGGCUAACUACGUG
rnacentral:rRNA from 1 species